rnacentral:rRNA from 1 species
AUUGAACGCUGGCGGAAUGCUUCACACAUGCAAGUCGAACGGCAGCACGGACUUCGGUCUGGUGGCGAGUGGCGAACGGGUGAGUAAUGUAUCGGAACGUGCCCAGUCGUGGGGGAUAACGUAGUGAAAAUUACGCUAAUACCGCAUACGAUCUAUGGAUGAAAGCGGGGGAUCGCAAGACCUCGCGCGAUUGGAGCGGCCGAUAUCAGAUUAGGUAGUUGGUGGGGUAAAGGCCCACCAAGCCAACGUUCUGUAGCUGGUCUGAGAGGACGACCAGCCACACUGGAACUGAGACACGGUCCAGACUCCUACGGGAGGCAGCAGUGGGGAAUUUUGGACAAUGGGCGAGAGCCUGAUCCAGCCAUUCCGCGUGCAGGAUGAAGGCCCUCGGGUUGUAAACUGCUUUUGUACAGAACGAAAAGGUUUCUACUAAUACUAGGAGCUCAUGACGGUACUGUAAGAAUAAGCACCGGCUAACUACGUGCCAGCAGCCGCCGUAA